rnacentral:rRNA from 1 species
AGCAGCCGCGGUAAUUCCAGCUCCAAUAGCGUAUAUUAAAGUUGUUGCAGUUAAAAAGCUCGUAGUUGAAUUUCGGGAUCAGUACGCUGGUCGUGCCUUUGGUAUGUACUGGUGUCACUGAUUCCUCCCUUCUGAAGAACCGUUAUGCCAUUUAUUUGGUGUGGCGGGAAAUCAGGACUGUUACUUUGAAAAAAUUAGAGUGUUUAAAGCAGGCUCGCGCUUGAAUACAUUAGCAUGGAAUAAUGAAAUAGGACGUUUGAUCUUAUUUUGUUGGUUUCUAGGAUCGACGUAAUGAUUAAUAGGGAUAGUUGGGGGCAUUAGUAUUCAAUUGUCAGAGGUGAAAUUCUUGGAUUUAUUGAAGACUAACUACUGCGAAAGCAUUUGCCAAGGAUGUUUUCAUUAAUCAAGAACGAAAGUUAGGGGAUCGAAGACGAUCAGAUACCGUCGUAGUCUUAACCAUAAACUAUGCCGACUAGGGAUCGGAUGAUGUUAAUUUUUAAUGUACUC